ensembl:snRNA U6 U6 spliceosomal RNA
GUGCUCACAUCUGCAGCACACAUACUAAAAUUAGAAUGAUAUAGAGAAGAUUAGCAUAGUCCCUGUGCACAAAUUCAUGCAGAUUUCAUAUUUUUA